rnacentral:rRNA from 1 species
GACGAACGCUGGCGGCGUGCUUAACACAUGCAAGUCGAACGAAGAGGCGAACGGGCGAGUAACGCGUUAUCAACCUGCCCCUCUGCGGGGGACAACAGUUGGAAACGUCUGCUAAUACCCUCUAUUCUAGCAUGAGCUUGCUUCUGAUUAGUUAGUUGUAGGGGUAACGGCCCACCAAGGCGAUGACCAGUAGCCGGUCUGAGAGGAUGAACGGCCAAAUUGGGACUGAGACACGGCCCAGACUCCUACGGGAGGCAGCAGUGGGGAAUCUUCCGCAAUGGACGAAAGUCUGACGGAGCAACGCCGCGUGAGUGAUGACGGCCUUCGGGUUGUAAAGCUCUGUUAAUCGGGACGCGGUAAAGGAAGAGAAAGCCACGGCUAACUACGUGCCAGCAGCCGCGGUAAUUG